GCCGCCCGCUUUCUUCUUUCCUAAUACAUGCAAGUUGAGCGCUGAAGGUUGGUACUUGUACCAACUGGAUGAGCAGCGAACGGGUGAGUAACGCGUGGGGAAUCUGCCUUUGAGCGGGGGACAACAUUUGGAAACGAAUGCUAAUACCGCAUAAAAACUUUAAACACAAGUUUUAAGUUUGAAAGAUGCAAUUGCAUCACUCAAAGAUGAUCCCGCGUUGUAUUAGCUAGUUGGUGAGGUAAAGGCUCACCAAGGCGAUGAUACAUAGCCGACCUGAGAGGGUGAUCGGCCACAUUGGGACUGAGACACGGCCCAAACUCCUACGGGAGGCAGCAGUAGGGAAUCUUCGGCAAUGGACGAAAGUCUGACCGAGCAACGCCGCGUGAGUGAAGAAGGUUUUCGGAUCGUAAAACUCUGUUGGUAGAGAAGAACGUUGGUGAGAGUGGAAAGCUCAUCAAGUGACGGUAACUACACAGAAAGGGACGGCUAACUACGUG
rnacentral:rRNA from 1 species